AAACGCUUGAAGUCAGUCGCGUUGGUUGAGAAUCAGCCUUGCUUUUGCUUGGUGUACUUCUUGAUCGAUGGGUCAGCAUCAGUUUUGAUCGUUGGAUAAAGUUCGAGGGAAUGUGGCAUCUUCGGAUGUGUUAUAGCCUUCGUUCGUAUACAAGCGGUUGGGACUGAGGAA
rnacentral:rRNA from 1 species